CAUCACCAGCCCAUUAACGUCCCCACUGCUGGGGCACGGGCCUUCCCUAUGGAUGGAUAGGGAGAUCGGGCCUUAAACCAUCACGCGGGCCCAGUGCGGAUUGAUGGUUAUUAACGACUGCUAAUGCGCCGGGACCAACGGCUUAACGUGCCUUCCGAAGCACGGAGGACCUCGAGAUGAAAACUUUUUUUUUUGUGGUCACCCAUCCUAUGACCGGCCUCUGCGAAAGUUGCUUUACUUCAACAAUCGCAAACCGAGCGCGUUUACCGCUGCGCCACCGAGCUCCUCAAG